GCAACAUCUGACAGCAAGACACCUUAACUUUCAUUUCUGCUUUCAAACUUAUGCCCAGUUAAUUUUUUAGGAAGAGAUCUGAUGUGUAGUUUAGGUAUUUGAUUGAUUUCCACUCCAGACAGAGUACAGGUCACAUCUACAGACAUUCUAAAUAAUCCCUCUUUUGUUGGUGUUAACUUCAGCUCAGCUGUGCUCUUAUCAUUGGCUGCUGAGGGGGGGCUGUAACUGAGGCCCUCACACAGGCUGCAUCACAGCUUGUUUCCAUGUGAUACGACCUCCAGAGACGCAUCUGACCUGUCCUGUACAGCACAUGUGUCUUCUGGUCCUGAUGAGAGUUCCACACGUCCCUCUGUGAAAACAUGAUGGAGACAGAUGCAGGACGUGGGUCCUUUCGUGAACAGAUGUCAACGGAGUGGAGACUGGUGAACGACUUCUGACCCCAUGUGACGUAUUCAACUACUUUGCAUACUUUUAGAAAACUUUUUUUAUUCUGCCCGUCAUGUGCAGCAAACAGUGAACUUGAUACCUCUGCAUUCUAAUGACACACACUACAUGCUUUUGUUUUUAUUUUUAUUUUUCAGAGGACGCUCUGACCCAACACUCAGCCUUACAGGAAGCCCUGCUUCCCUGUGGCUCACACACAGACAUGAUGUAGGUUUGAUCAGAGGAUGUGAACCAGUGGUCAUCACACCUAAAUCUGACCACAGACCAUGUAAACAACAGCACCCUCUGAAAGGAAGCCAUAGAUGGCGUUACUGCAGACACCACUAAGCUACUGAAACAUUGGAUGCUACAGGCCACAAAGAGCCUGUCUAAAUUACAGUUUGUUCAGACAAAGGUUAUUUUCUGGGUCAUUGUAAUUACAGCUGAUGGCAAAUCCA